CAUAGAGCGCGAGCAGACGGUGCUGCAUGGCGCACAGCGGAGGCCGCGGGCGGCCGAACCCGGCGUGUCUUUGGGCUCUUCCAGGUGCAACAAAACCUGUCUCAUUUGAAGGUGCUUGAACAAAUAUUUUCUAAACACUUGUCAUGGAGAGUGAUUGAAACAAGCUGCCAAGACUACAUUUGCCAAUAACAAGCAUGUAGGUGGCUGUAGUGGAUGUCCAACUUUGGGAGCUGUGAUGUCUAAAAACCCUUUAUUGUUUUGGGUAAGUUUGCUUGAUCAGUCAUGUAUCUGGAUUCAAUACUGUUUGAUAACACUGAGGGACUGGGGCCAGUUCGUUUUGAAGAUCAUUAGGGUGAACACCUGGGCCUAGUUUGAGAUGGAAGAAAAAUGAUUUGGGGUUUCUGACUUUUUUUUUCUUUUGGGAAGGUGCAGCUUACAUAUUGGAAGGUAAAAUGAAGACCAUGAACAAAGUCAAGAAGCCAUAAACAGAAGCAAAUUGUGAAAAUACCUAAUUUAAUAUUAAUAAGUUAUAUAUAAAUAAACAGUUAUUCUU
rnacentral:lncRNA from 1 species